UGGGGACAUGCAGCCCAGAUAAAGGGGCGCCGUGCCAGGGGCCGACCCCAGAGCAGCCCCGCAGCCUCCCCACCCAGGCCUGAGGCCCAGCGCCCAUUCUUGUCUUCCCCACCGCCAGUGACCAGGGUUGGACCGGCACUGUGGAGUGUACCCCAUGUACCCAGUGAGCGGUGGCCAGAGACACAGCCCGCAAACAGGACCCCAUGGAACCCUCCCUGGUCCCCUCCGACAGCCCAGGGGCUGCAGCCUCCUCUGUGAGACUCCACGAGUCCCUCCAGGUGACCUUCAGAGCCCAGCUCCCAGAGGGCGCAAUGCCGGGAAGCAGCGGCCCCUCAGGCCGGGGCUCCGUGAGCACCCGGCACCUGUGUCCCGAGGUGGGGGCUGCAUUGGUCCAGGACUGAGGACAUCGGCGCUGCCUCCCCGUCCAGCUCAGAGACGGGUCUGCACCCCCCAGGAUGACAGGAAGGAGGGUCCACCUUCCCCCUCGGGGCUGGGACCCCACCCAGCAGGACAGGAAGGUCUGUGAGUCUGUGACAGGGGUGCUUGCAGAAAUGGAGGCAAAUGAAAGUCCUUAUGGGUGCAAAGAGCCAGCCCAGCAGGUGCCUAGUCCGGGGGCUUCAUCCACACCUGUAACCGUCUCCAGGAGGGUGUUGGCAUCGGCCAUGAGCUGGCCACCAUGCUGUCCCUCUUCCCAGAGACCCAGCUUCCCGUCUUGAAGUGAACCUGUGUCACCAGCCUUUUUCUGGUCGAAAGAGAAAAGGGUGAUUGAACAGACAAGUGCCUUUCACCACGAUGCUGGUGCACACACGCACACGCACACGCGCACACACGGUUUCUAUGUGUCAGGGGUGUGCUAGAGCGGAGCCCGAGUUUCUGACCUUGUCCAUUAACCUCGGCGCCUUCUGCAGGACCCGCGAGAUGCCCACAACGCCGUGCAGGCUGGGAAGGAACGUGCCGGCCGGAUGAGCCCUUUGCCACCUAGAAAGCCAGGCAUCCGAGAAAAUGCAUCGGAAUCGCUUGCUUCCUGAGCGGGACUGGAUUUCCGGGGUCGGGGGAGGCGCUCCAGUCCUGCACCCGGAGACACAUUUCACUCACCGGGGGCUUUGUCGAUGAGCAGAUGUGCCUUCGGGGGACGUCGGAAAUGUUUCGGAAACUGGAGAUCCCGGGCCGUUGUGCAGCGGACUCAGGACGUGUGACCGGCAGGAAGCUUGCCCAAACUCGGCACGAGGCUGUUGAUGCUUUGGGAGAAUCGCUGAUCUUGUGGACCCCGUCUCGCCGUGUCUGCGCCGUGCUGGCCAACCCUGGGCGCGGCGGGAACCUGCUCCCUGUGGACGGCCAGGGCUGGUUCCGGGUCCCGGGCUCCCCGGUUCGUUUCCAAAGCCGUCGAUUUGGAAACCGGUGGUUUGUAUCUGAAUCGGAGGCUGGUCGCUGUGUGUGUGUGUGUGUGUGUGUGUGUGCGCGCGUGUGUGUGUGUGUGAUGAUUAUAGGUUGGGGACAUCCACACGCUGCCGUAGCAGAGAGCAGACUUGGAAUUUAAGGUCCACAUUUAAAGGAAAAGCCAACAAAAGACAAUGCACAGAGCGGGUCAGGACCUGCUGGCUCAGAGGGGAUUUUUCCUCGGCUGUUCGUGGUUCCUGCUGGUCUCUUUGUUCUCUGAGCUUGAAGACGUGUCUUCAUCAGGGAGAUCGGUUCUAGCUCCAUACAGGGCGACCCACUGGAAAAUAGCCAAGGUUUCCUGGAAAUGUUCUCAAUACAUUUAAAUUCCUAACGUUGGGGCUCCUGGUGGCGCCGGCGGCUGAGCGUCCGACUUCGGCUCCGGGCAGAGACAGUGCGAGCAGGGGAGGGGCAGAGAGAGAGGGAGAGACAGAACCCAAGCAGGCUCCGCGCUGUCAGCACAGAGCCCGACGCGGGGCUGCACCUCACGAACCGCGGGAUCCCGACCUGAGCUGGAACCAGGACUGACAGGCUUGGCGGGCCGGGGCUGUUCCUCUACGCCGCGUUGGGAAUCUCGAGAGCACGGUGGCUGGUGAAAUCUGGACACGGCCUGAGCUCGCCGGGAAGCUUCCUGAUGAGCCUGCCCAACGCCAUGGACCUAGAACGGGGGUGUGCAACUGUACUUCACGCUGUUCCCGCGUUAGGCAGAUGGCGUCCUUCCUUCCCAGCGAGCCGGCGCUUGGGAAGAACGGAGGAUGCGAUUCGGAGCCGCCGGACGUUUGGGGUGGGGGAGGGGCAGAUGGCGAGUCUGAAACAUCCCAAGGUUUUCUGAAAUGAUUAUAUAGGAAAUCGUCAGGUCGCCUCACUGUCAGUAUCUCGAAGGUUUUGUUUUAUGUUUUUUAUUUAUUUUUGAGAGACAGAGACAGAGCACGAGCAGGGGAGGGCCAGA